UUGGUUUGGGGAUGAAAGCUUCGAGCGCCAGAGGAGGGGCUCGCGUCCUAUCAGGUAGUUGGUGAGGUAACGGCCCACCAAGCCUAUGACGGGUAGCUGGUCUGAGAGGACGAUCAGCCAGAGGGGGACUGAGACACGGCCCCCACUCCUACGGGAGGCAGCAGCAGGGAAUUUUGGGCAAUGGGCGAAAGCCUGACCCAGCGACGUCGCGUGGGGGAUGAAGGCCUUAGGGCUGUAAACCCCUUUUCCAAGGGAAGAGAAAGGACGGUACCUUGGGAAUAAGCUCCGGCUAACUACGUGCCAGCAGCCGCGGUAAUACGUAGGGAGCGAGCGUUACCCGGAAUCACUGGGCGUAAAGAGCGCGUAGGCGGCUGGAUAAGUCUCUUGUGAAAGCUCCCGGCUUAACUGGGAGAGGUCAAGGGAUACUAUUCGGCUUGAGGGCAGUAGAGGAAGGCGGAAUUCCCGGUGUAGCGGUGAUAUGCGUAGAUAUCGGGAGGAACACCAGUGGCGAAAGCGGCCUUCUGGGCUGUGCCUGACGCUGAGGCGCGAGAGCGUGGGGAGCAAACUGGAUUAGAUACCCUGGUAGUC
rnacentral:rRNA from 1 species